rnacentral:rRNA from 1 species
UACGGGGGGAGCAAGCGUUGUUCGGAUUUACUGGGCGUAAAGGGCUCGUAGGCGGCCAACUAAGUCCGACGUGAAAUCCCCAGGCUUAACCUGGGAACUGCGUCGGAUACUGGAUGGCUUGAAUCCGGGAGAGGGAUGCGGAAUUCCAGGUGUAGCGGUGAAAUGCGUAGAUAUCUGGAGGAACACCGGUGGCGAAGGCGGCAUCCUGGACCGGCAUUGACGCUGAGGAGCGAAGCCAGGGGAGCAAACGGG